UCUUCCAGUUUCACCCCGCACAUGCGCAAAGGCCUGUCACGGCGGCUGAGCUGGGCCAAACACGAUAAAGGAGAAACAUCUCAAAGGUUCCAUAAGGGCGUGGCUUAAAUGGUGCUGGGAAGCCCGGGGGAAGUUGAAAUCAGAGGCAUCCAGGGAUAACAGGAACUCAGAACCGGGGCAUCACAGGUGGACGGCUGACCCACCUUUCCCAGGAGCUCUACAAGUAAAAUGACCCUUCCUUAAUCUCUAGCUGCUUGCCUUUUUCCUCUCCUUCACUGGCCGUUUCUCCUUCCAUUUCCCAACAUGAUCAUUAUUGAAAUUCAGCCCUUGGUCUCGUUUGUUCUUGUUCGGCUUUCUAGAUUAGUUACCUCCUUCUGUUAGAUGUACAGUGCAACACAAAAAUCGGCGCCGAACUGGUUCUUCAGUUUCAGUCCAUGUUUACCUCAACCUUUCCUAUCAUCUGAACCUGCCUCAGAUUUGCUAGGACUUGGCUUUCACUUAAAGCCAAACCACAAUUAACAAACACUAGCCUAACAAAAGAAUAGGGGGCAUUAUGGUUUGCAUAUGAAUGUUUUUAUGUACUUAAAUGGGAUUUAAUUUACACAGUAUAAAUAUGCUGAUAUUUCCAGGAACUUUUAGGGUGAUUUUUAUUUGGAGCAGAGCCCAAAAUUAAAGACAUUCUCAUAUUUAUCAGCGCAAUAAGAACUGUUAUGUAGUAUUCGGUAUAUGAAUUUGGAGGAAGAACUGCUUCACAGCAACUUGCCCUCUUGUAAAUGAGCAUCUAAUUAAAAGUUCGGAAUGGUUGGAUGACAUUUGUAUUCAAUCAAUAGCAAUUUCUGACUAAUUUGGUAAAGAAACAGAGUUGGUCUAAAUUGUUUAUUUUUAUUAAUAUAUAAUUCACAUACCAAAAAAUUCAUCCCUUUAAAGUGGACAAUAAAGUGAUUUUUAAUAUGUUUACAAAGUUGCACAAUUACCACUACUCUCUAAUUCUAAGACUUUUUUUUCAACCCCCAAAAGAAACCCUAUAUACACAUAGAGUAUUCUUCCUUCUUCCACCCCCUGGCAACCACUAACUUACCUUUUAUCUCUGAGGACUUGCUUGUUCUGGACAUUUUAUAUAAAUGGAAUCAUACAAUAUGUGGCUUUUUGUGUCUGACUUAUUUUACUUAGUGUUUUCAGGGUUUGUUCAUGUUGUAGCAUGUUUCAUUUCUUCAUUACUUUUUAUGGCCAAAUAAUAUUCCAUUAUAUGGAUAUAUAACAUUUUGUUUAUAUGUUCAUUAGUUGAUGGACAUUGGGUUCUUUCAACUUUUUGGCUAUUAUGAACAAUGCUGCUAUGAACAUUCUUGUAGAAGUUUUUGUGUGGAUGUAUUUUCUUAAUUCUCUUGGGUAUAAACCCAGUAGUGGAAUUGCUGGGUCAUAGGGUAAUUCUGUGUUUAACUUUGUGCAAAACUAUAAAAACUAUUUUUCAAAGAAGUUGCACCAUUUUACAUUUCCAUUAGCAGUGUAUGAGAGUUCAAACUUCUCUACAUUCUCACCAACAUUUGUUAUUAAUCUGUCUUUGUUAUCAUAGCCAUUCUAGUGAGUAUAAAUGGUUUCUCAUUGUGGUUUUGAUUUGCAUUACCCUGGUGAUUAAAGAUAUUGAGCAUC